ensembl:lncRNA
AUGGCACCUUGGGAUUUUGCUAUGCAACUUACCACACGUAAGACUCUGGUUUCUCUGGUUUUAUAUGCAUCUGAAGCUGUAUUUAACAAAUCAUCCACAAACGUUUCAUCGCUGGAAAAACUAAAAAGAACUGACUGGGUUGUUUUGGGGGUUGUUGGAACCACAGUUGGAGGUUCAGUUGUUUGUGUCGUUUCUGUUGCAGUAGUUGGAAGUGUUGUUGCAGUAGUAGGUGAGUUUGUCGUAAUCUCAGUUGUAGGUUCAGUUGUUUGUGUCGUUUCUGUUGAAGAGACAGUAGUUGGAAGUGUAGUUGCAGUAGUAGGAGAGUUUGUUGUAAUCUUAGUUGUAGGUUCAGUUGUUUGUGUCGUUUCUGUUGAAGAGACAGUAGUUGGAAGUGUUGUUGCAGUAGUAGGAGAGUUUGUUGUAAUCUUAGUUGUAGUUUCAGUUGUUUGUGUCGUUUCUGUUGAAGAGACAGUAGUUGGAAGUGUUGUUGCAGUAGUAGGAGAGUUUGUCGUAAUCUCAGUUGUAGGUUCAGUUGUUUGUGUCAUUUCUGUUGAAGAGACAGUAGUUGGAAGUGUAGUUGCAGUAGUAGGAGAGUUUGUUGUAAUCUUAGUUGUAGGUUCAGUUGUUUGUGUCGUUUCUGUUGAAGAGACAGUAGUUGGAAGUGUUGUUGCAGUAGUAGGAGAGUUUGUCGUAAUCUCAGUUGUAGGUUCAGUUGUUUGUGUCGUUUCUGUUGAAGAGACAGUAGUUGGAAGUGUAGUUGCAGUAGUAGGUGAGUUUGUUGUAAUCUUAGUUGUAGGUUCAGUUGUUUGUGUCGUUUCUGUUGAAGAGACAGUAGUUGGAAGUGUUGUUGCAGUAGUAGGAGAGUUUGUUGUAAUCUUAGUUGUAGGUUCAGUUGUUUGUGUCGUUUCUGUUGAAGAGACAGUAGUUGGAAGCGUAGUUGCAGUAGUAGGUGAGUUUGUCGUAACCACAGUGGUAGGUUCAGUUGUCUGUGUUGUUUCUGUUGAAGAAACAGUAGUUGGAAGUGUAGUUGCAGUAGCAGGAGAGUUUGUCGUAAACUCAGUUGUAGGUUCAGUUGUUUGUGUCGUUUCUGUAGAAGAGACAGUAGUUGGAAGUGUUGUUGCAGUAGUGGGAGAGUUUGUUGUAAUCUUAGUUGUAGGUUCAGUUGUCUGUGUCGUUUCUGUUGAAGAGACAGUAGUUGGAAGUAUAGUUGCAGUAGUAGGAGAGUUUGUCGUAAUCUCAGUUGUAGGUUCAGUUGUUUGUGUCAUUUCUGUUGAAGAGACAGUAGUUGGAAGUGUUGUUGCAGUAGUAGGUGAGUUUGUCGUAAUCUCAGUUGUAGGUUCAGUUGUCUGUGUCGUUUCUGUUGUUGAAACAGUAGUUGGAAGUGUUGUUGCAGUAGUAGGUGAGUUUGUCGUAACCACAGUGGUAGGUUCAGUUGUCUGUGUUGUUUCUGUUGAAGAAACAGUAGUUGGAAGUGUAGUUGCAGUAGUAGGAGAGUUUGUCGUAAGCUCAGUUGUAGGUUCAGUUGUUUGUGUCGUUUCUGUAGAAGAGACAGUAGUUGGAAGUGUUGUUGCAGUAGUAGGAGAGUUUGUUGUAAUCUUAGUGGUAGGUUCAGUUGUCUGUGUCGUUUCUGUUGAAGAGACAGUAGUUGGAAGUGUAGUUGCAGUAGUAGGAGAGUUUGUCAUAAUCUCAGUUGUAGGUUCAGUUGUUCGUGUCGUUUCUGUAGAAGAGACAGUAGUUGGAAGUGUUGUUGCAGUAGUAGGAGAGUUUGUCUUAAUCUCAGUGGUAGGUUCAGUUGUCUGUGUUGUUUCUGUUGAAGAAACAGUAGUUGGAAGUGUAGUUGCAGUAGUGGGAGAGUUUGUUGUAAUCUUAGUUGUAGGUUCAGUUGUCUGUGUCGUUUCUGUUGAAGAGACAGUAGUUGGAAGUGUAGUUACAGUAGUAGGAGAGUUUGUCGUAAUCUCAGUUGUAGGUUCAGUUGUUUGUGAUGUUUCUGUUGAAGAAACAGUAUUUGAAAGUGUUGUUGCAGUAGUAGGAGAGUUUGUCGUAAGCUCAAUUGUAGGUUCAGAUGUUUGUGUCGUUUCUGUAGAAGAGACAGUAGUUGGAAGUGUUGUUGCAGUAGUAGGAGAGUUUGUUGUAAUCUUAGUUGUAGGUUCAGUUGUCUGUGUCGUUUCUGUUGAAGUGACAGUAGUUGGAAGUGUAGUUGCAGUAGUAGGAGAGUUUGUCGUAAUCUCAGUUGUAGGUUCAGUUGUUUGUGUCGUUUCUGUAGAAGAGACAGUAGUUGGAAGUGUUGUUGCAGUAGUAGGAGAGUUUGUUGUAAUCUUAGUUGUAGGUUCAGUUGUCUGUGUCGUUUCUGUUGAGGAGACAGUAGUUGGAAGUAUAGUUGCAGUAGUAGGAGAGUUUGUCGUAAUCUCAGUUGUAGGUUCAGUUGUUUGUGUCGUUUCUGUUGUAGAGACAGUAGUUGGAAGUGUUGUUGCAGUAGUAGGUGAGUUUGUCGUAACCACAGUGGUAGGUUCAGUUGUCUGUGUUGUUUCUGUUGAAGAAACAGUAGUUGGAAGUGUAGUUGCAGUAGUAGGAGAGUUUGUCGUAAUCUCAGUUGUAGGUUCAGUUGUUUGUGUCGUUUCUGUAGAAGAGACAGUAGUUGAAAGUGUUGUUGCAGUAGUAGGAGAGUUUGUUGUAAUCUUAGUUGUAGGUUCAGUUGUUUGUGUCGUUUCUGUUGAAGAGACAGUAGUUGGAAGUAUAGUUGCAGUAGUAGGAGAGUUUGUCGUAAUCUCAGUGGUAGGUUCAGUUGUCUGUGUUGUUUCUGUUGAAGAAACAGUAGUUGGAAGUGUAGUUGCAGUAGUGGGAGAGUUUGUCGUAAUCUUAGUUGUAGGUUCAGUUGUCUGUGUCGUUUCUGUUGAAGAGACAGUAGUUGGAAGUAUAGUUGCAGUAGUAGGAGAGUUUGUCGUAAUCUCAGUUGUAGGUUCAGUUGUUUGUGUCGUUUCUGUUGAAGAGACAGUAGUUGGAAGUGUUGUUGCAGUAGUAGGUGAGUUUGUUGUAAUCUUAGUUGUAGGUUCAGUUGUUUGUGUCGUUUCUGUUGAAGAGACAGUAGUUGGAAGUAUAGUUGCAGUAGUAGGAGAGUUUGUCGUAACCACAGUGGUAGGUUCAGUUGUCUGUGUCGUUUCUGUUGAAGAAACAGUAGUUGGAAGUGUAGUUGCAGUAGUAGGAGAGUUUGACGUUAUCUCAGUUGUAGGUUCAGUUGUUUGUGUCGUUUCUGUUGAAGAGACAGUAGUUGGAAGUGUUGUUGCAGUAGUAGGUGAGUUUGUCGUAAUCUCAGUUGUAGGUUCAGUUGUUUGUGUCAUUUCUGUUGAAGAGACAGUAGUUGGAAGUGUUGUUGCAGUAGUAGGAGAGUCUGUCGUAAUCUCAGUUGUAGGUUCAGUUGUUUGUGUCAUUUCUGUUGAAGAGACAGUAGUUGGAAGUGUUGUUGCAGUAGUAGGUGAGUUUGUCGUAAUCUCAGUUGUAGGUUCAGUUGUUUGUGUCGUUUCUGUUGAAGAGACAGUAGUUGGAAGUGUAGUUGCAGUAGUAGGAGAGUUUGUCAUAAUCUCAGUUGUAGGUUCAGUUGUUUGUGUCGUUUCUGUAGAAGAGACAGUAGUUGGAAGUAUUGUUGCAGUAGUAGGAGAGUUUGUUGUAAUCUUAGUUGUAGGUUCAGUUGUCUGUGUCGUUUCUGUUGAAGAGACAGUAGUUGGAAGUGUUGUUGCAGUAGUAGGUGAGUUUGUCGUAAUCUCAGUUGUAGGUUCAGUUGUCUGUGUCGUUUCUGUUGAAGAGACAGUAGUUGGAAGCAUUGUUGCAGUAGUAGGUGAGAUUGUCGUAAUCUCAGUUGUAGGUUCAGAUGUUUGUGUCGUUUCUGUUGUAGAGACAGUAGUUGAAAGUGUAGUUGCAGUAGUAGGUGAGUUUGUCGUAAUCUCAGUUGUAGGUUCAGCUGUCUGUGUGGUUUCUGUUGAAGAGACAGUAGUUGGAAGUGUAGUUGCAGUAGUAGGUGAGUUUGUCGUAAUCUCAGUUGAAGGUUCAGUUGUCUGUGUCGUUUCUGUUGUAGAAACAGUAGUAGAAAGUGUAGUUGCAGUAGUAGGUGAGUUUGUCGUAAUCUCAGCUGAAGGUUCAGUUGUUUGUGUCGCUUCUGUUGUAGAAACAGUAGUAGGAAGUGUAGUUGCAGUAGUAGGUGAGUUUGUCGUAAUCUCAGUUGUAGGUUCAGUUGUCUGUGUCGUUUCUGUUGUUGAAACAGUAGUAGGAAGUGUAGUUGCAGUAGUAGGUGAGUUUGUCGUAAUCUCAGUUGUAGGUGAGUUUGUCGUAAUCUCAGUUGUAGGUUCAGUUGUUUGUGUCGUUUCUGUUGUAGAAACAGUAGUUGGAAGUGUAAUUGCAGUAGUAGGAGAGUUUGUCGUAACCACAGUUGUAUGUUCAGUUGUUUGUGUCGUUUCUAUUGAAGAAACAGUAGUUGGAAGUGUUGUUGCAGUAGUAGGAGAGUUUGUCGUAAACUCAGUUGUAGGUUCAGUUGUUUGUGUCGUUUCUGUAGAAGAGACAGUAGUUGGAAGUGUUGUUGCAGUAGUAGGAGAGUCUGUCGUAAUCUCAGUUGUAGGUUCAGUUGUUUGUGUCAUUUCUGUUGAAGAGACAGUAGUUGGAAGUGUAGUUGCAGUAGCAGGUGAGUUUGUCGUAAUCUCAGUUGUAGGUUCAGUUGUUUGUGUCGUAUCUGUUGAAGAGACAGUAGUUGGAAGUGUAGUUGCAGUAGUAGGUGAGUUUGUCGUAAUCUCAGUUGUAGGUUCAGUUGUUUGUGUCGUAUCUGUUGUAGAGACAGUAGUUGGAAGUGUAGUUGCAGUAGCAGGUGAGUUUUUCGUAAUCUCAGUUGUCGUUUCACUUGUCUGUGUCAUUUUUGUUGUAGAAACAGUAGUUGUAGAUUCUGUUGUAGUUGUUGAUUCUGUUGCUGUCAUUGUUUGUAUCGUGGUGCUACAUAAUACUGUUGUUAAAAAAAAGAAAAUCACAAUAAUUUUAGGGCAUUUUUACAUAUAAGUAAGUAAUAAGAGAUACAAAGAUUUUGGAUGGUAAUUAACUUACAGACCUAUACU